rnacentral:rRNA from 1 species
CAUAGGCAGUGGCUUGGUUAAGGGAACGGAACCCACCGGAGCCGUAGCGAAAGCGAGUCUUAAUAGGGCGAUUGUCACUGCUUAUGGACCCAAACCUGGGUGAUCUAUCCAUGACCAGGAUGAAGCUUGGAUGAAACUAAGCAGAGGUCCGAACCGACUGAUGUUGAAGAAUCAACGGAUGAGUUGUGGUUAGGGGUGAAAUGCCACUCGAACCCAGAGCUAGCUGG